rnacentral:rRNA from 1 species
AAACUUACCAGGUCAAGACAUGGGCGUGAUUGACAGGCUAAUGACUUUUCUCGAUUCCAUGGAUGGUGGUGCAUGGUCGCACUUAGUUGGUGCAGUGAUUUGUCAGGUUUAUUCCGGUAACGAACGAGACCUCGGCCUUGUAAAUAGCUAUGCUGCUUACAGGGACAUUGGCGGCUACGCCAAGGAAGCUCGAGGCAAUUGCAGAUCUGGAAUGCCCUUAGAUGUCCUGGGUCGCACGCGUGCUACAAUGACGCCACGAACGAGCUUGCGUGAUGAAAGUUACGCAUAAUCAGCAGUCGGCGUCUUAAGGGAUAGUCUCUUGUAACUGUGGGACUCCAACUAGGAAUGUCUCGUAAGCACAAGUCAACAUCUUGUGUUGAUUACGUCCCUGCUCUUUGUACACACCGCCCGUCGCUCCUACCGAUCGAGUGUUUAGGUGAAUUUGACGGACGUAAGGAAGUCAAAUAAACCUGAGCACUAGAGAAGAGAAGUCUAGAAUC